rnacentral:rRNA from 1 species
UACGUAGGUGGCAAGCGUUGUCCGGAAUUAUUGGGCGUAAAGCGCGCGCAGGCGGUUUCUUAAGUCUGAUGUGAAAGCCCCCGGCUCAACCGGGGAGGGUCAUUGGAAACUGGGAAACUUGAGUGCAGGAGAGAAGAGCGGAAUUCCACGUGUAGCGGUGAAAUGCGUAGAUAUCGGAAGGAACACCAGUGGCGAAGGCGGCUAUCUGGACUGACACUGACGCUGAGGCGCGAGAGCGUGGGGAGCAAACAGG